ensembl:miRNA gga-mir-6660 gga-mir-6660
GAGGAGAGUGUGCUGAAAGGUGGGCGGCGGUGUGUGGUGCGGGGCAGGCGGUGUGGGGCCACCGGGCUCUGACAUGGCUCUGCUCCGCAGUCUGCUCCUGCGCGCUGCAG